GCUGGGUGUGGUGGUGCACACCUGUAAUCCCAGCUACUUGGGAGGCUGAGGUGGAAGAAUUGCUUGAACCCAGGAGGCAGAGGUUGCAGUGAGCCGAGAUUGCACCAUUGCACUUCAGCUUGGGUGACAGAGUGAAACUCCAUCUCAA
ensembl:misc_RNA Metazoa_SRP Metazoan signal recognition particle RNA